rnacentral:tRNA from 1 species
UUUUUUAUUGGUGUAAAGGCACAUAAAAUUUUGAUUUUUAAGGGUAAAAU